rnacentral:rRNA from 1 species
AGAGUUUGAUCCUGGCUCAGGACGGACGCUGGCGGCGUGCUUAACACAUGCAAGUCGAACGAUGAAGCCUUUCGGGGUGGAUUAGUGGCGAACGGGUGAGUAACACGUGGGCAACCUGCCCUCCACUCUGGGAUAACUCCGGGAAACCGGGGCUAAUACUGGAUAUGACCCUCCCUCGCAUGGGGGUGGGUGGAAAGUUUUUCGGUGGAGGAUGGGCCCGCGGCCUAUCAGCUUGUUGGUGGGGUGAUGGCCUACCAAGGCGGUGACGGGUAGCCGGCCUGAGAGGGCGACCGGCCACACUGGGACUGAGACACGGCCCAGACUCCUGCGGGAGGCAGCAGUGGGGAAUAUUGCACAAUGGGCGAAAGCCUGAUGCAGCGACGCCGCGUGAGGGAUGACGGCCUUCGGGUUGUAAACCUCUUUCAGCAGGGACCAAGCGUGAGUGAGUGUACCUGCAGAAGAAGCACCGGCUAACUACGUGCCAGCAGCCGCGGUAAUACGUAGGGUGCGAGCGUUGUCCGGAUUUAUUGGGCGUAAAGGGCUCGUAGGCGGCCUGUCGCGUCGGAAGUGAAAGCCCACUGCUUAACGGUGGGUCUGCUUCCGGUACGGGCAGGCUGGAGUAUGGCAGGGGAGACUGGAAUUCCUGGUGUAGCGGUGGAAUGCGCAGAUAUCAGGAGGAACACCGGUGGCGAAGGCGGGUCUCUGGGCCAUUACUGACGCUGAGGAGCGAAAGCGUGGGGAGCGAACAGGAUUAGAUACCCCCGUAGUCC